rnacentral:rRNA from 1 species
CCUACGGGCGGCAGCAGUGGGGAAUAUUGCGCAAUGGGCGAAAGCCUGACGCAGCGACGCCGCGUGAGGGAUGAAGGUCUUCGGAUCGUAAACCUCUGUCAGCAGGGAAGAACGGUCACUGUGCUAAUCAGCAGUGAAUUGACGGCACCUGCAAAGGAAGCACCGGCUAACUCCGUGCCAGCAGCCGCGGUAAUACGGAGGGUGCGAGCGUUAACCGGAAUUACUGGGCGUAAAGCGCUCGUAGGCGGUAUGUCAAGUCAAGGGUGAAAUCCCGGCGCUCAACGUCGGAACUGCCUUUGAAACUGGCAAGCUGGAGUGUGUGAGAGGUUAGUGGAAUUCCAGGUGUAGGAGUGAAAUCCGUAGAUAUCUGGAGGAACAUCAGUGGCGAAGGCGACUAUCUGGCACAUAACUGACGCUGAGGAGCGAAAGCGUGGGUAGCAAACAGGAUUAGAUACCCCAGUAGUC